CUCUUGCAGUGAUGAAUUAUGAAUUCUUCACACGUCAGACUUCAGAGAUUCUUUUAGUUUUUUCUAAAAAAUCUAUGAGAAGACAAUUCAUUCUUCUGAGCAGAG